GACGAACGCUGGCGGCGUGCUUAACACAUGCAAGUCGAACGGAAAGGCCCCGUUUUGGGGGGGUGCUCGAGCGACGGACGGGUGAACAACACGUUAAUCUCCUGCCCAUGACUUUGGGAUAACUUCAGAAAGCGGGUACUAAUACCUGAUAGGACCUCCUGCUGCAUGGUGGGGGUAGGAAUGCUUCGGCGGUUGGGGAUGGACUCGCGGCUUAUCAGCUUGUUGGUGGGGUAGUGGCUCACCAAGGCUUUGACGGGUAGCCGGCCUGAGAGGGUGACCGGCCACAUUGGGACUGAGAUACGGCCCAGACUCCUACGGGAGGCAGCAGUGGGGAAUAUUGCACAAUGGGCGGAAGCCUGAUGCAGCAACGCCGCGUGCGGGAUGACGGCCUUCGGGUUGUAAACCGCUUUCGCCUGUGACGAAGCGUGAGUGACGGUAAUGGGUAAAGAAGCACCGGCUAACUACGUG
rnacentral:rRNA from 1 species